UUCACCUAGUUCACAGCCAGACACUUUGCUGGGUUGCAGAGACACUAAGAACAUAAAAUGCCAGCCCGGCCCUUGAUAAGCUGACAGCCAGUGGGAGUUGCUAAGGCACAGGACAAAGCACAUGGGCUUUGGGCCCAUCAAACCUGAUUCAUGAAACUGGCUCUACCGCUCACGAGCUCCUUAGCCUGGGGCCACACACUUAACCUCUCUGAACUUGUUUGCUCAUCUGUAUAAUGGAGCACCUGACACCCAACUCACAGGACUGUCAGCAGGAUCAGAGAAAAUGCGUAUACAUUCACCUGCACAGUACCUGAUAUAUGUAAGUGCUUAUUUAAUACAUGGUGGUUAGCAUUAACUUUACUGUUACCAAAUGAAACAGACACAUAACAGGAAAAAUUAUCAUAUAUAUUGUGUUAGGCACUUUUAAAAACAGAUCUGAAUAAAGUGUUAGGAGACAGGAUAGCAGAGGGUAGGAAUAUGGGCUUUGGAGAUAGAUGUUGAUUCCAAACCUAGCACCUCCAUUCAUGCAGUGAGUUGACACUGGGCAAGUGCCUUGGCAUUUUGAUUUGUAAAAUGGGCACAAUUACCUAUUAGUACCAACUCACAGGUAUAUUGCUCAUUUUUCUUUUUUUAAAGAGAUAGGAUCUGACUCUGUCGCCCAGGCUGGAGUGCAGUGAUGGGAUCAUAGCUCACUACAGUCUUGACUUUCUGUACUCAAGCGAUCUUCCUGCGUAGCUGGGACUACAGACACAUGACACCGUGCCUGGCUAAUUUUUGUACUUUUUGUAGAGAUAACAUCUUGAUUUGUUGCCUAGAGUGGCCUCAAAACUCCUGGCCUCAAGUGAUCCUCCCACCUUGGCCUCCCAAAGGGCUGGAAUUACGGGUGUGAGACACCUCACCUGGCCUGGAAUGUUGUGAAUGUAAAGGGGAUGACACAUCAUACAAAGGGAUUCACACUUUUUUUUAGCUAUAGGGCUUGCUCAAUAAGUGUGCAUUGCUGCUAUUUCCACAGGAACACAGGUGGCCAAAGAAACCUCUUAAGAGGGAAAAAAUGAAUCACGGGGAAUAUGCUCAUAUAAGAAAUUAGGGAAAGAAAAGAAAGAAAAAAAAACAAAGCCUUUUUUUUUUUUUUUUUUUUUUUUGCUGGGUAUAGGAAGGCAUCCCAGGCUGCUUCAUCAUUGCCCUGUCCAGUUCUGACAAAUAUCUUUGACAUCCCCAGAGAGAACACUGAGGCCCUUCAAGAUUUUAAAUUCUCUGAGAAGUCUUCAAAGGUCUACUUUGACUGUAGUAGAAGAGUGACUGGUAUCUUCGGAAUGGUUUUGAAGUUCAGUGGUAAACAUGUCUUUUGGGCUGUAUUUUUAUCAAGGAACAUGUAAAUAUACCAGCGUGCCCUCUCCCUAAGUCCCCAG
rnacentral:lncRNA from 1 species